AGGUACUCGAGUGGCGAACGGGUGAGUAACACGUGGGUGAUCUGCCCUGCACUCUGGGAUAAGCCUGGGAAACUGGGUCUAAUACCGGAUAGGACCGCACUUUAGUGUGUGUGGUGGAAAGUUUUUUCGGUGUAGGAUGAGCCCGCGGCCUAUCAGCUUGUUGGUGGGGUAAUGGCCUACCAAGGCGGCGACGGGUAGCCGGACUGAGAGGUUGGUCGGCCACAUUGGGACUGAGAUACGGCCCAG
rnacentral:rRNA from 1 species